GCCACAUCGCUUCAUACCCAAGUGGCUUCCAGGGCCACCUCUUUGUUCCUGCUCUUUCCCCUGCUUUCUGCAUUGGGGUCUCUCCUGGCACCAGGCCCCCACUCCAGCCCUGUCCAUUUUGGGUAAUGAAAGUGUGAUCAUCCCAUGGAGCCAGCCUUUGUCUGUUAGUGGAACUUGAUGUCCUCUGUUUUGUUGCUUACGGAUCUUUUCAGAAAGUGAGAAUCAGUUCUGCUUUCAGCUACAAUUGAUCUUUACCACAGGGAAAGUUGACCCCACUGAGCAGCUGACAUCUGAAGGCUCCUGAAGAGUGAAGGUCUGAGAGGUGACAGACCCAGGUUUCAAGUGGCUUCCUUGCUGCCUGCUAGCAGCCUUCACGGCUACUUCCAGUGCUUCAGGAAAAGGAACUGAAGCCACCUUACAGGUGACCAUGUCGAGGAAAUGAGCUGGUGUGCAUAAAAACCUGGUGACCUAAGGUGUGAUUUUGUCCUCUCCCUUGGCGCCAGUACCACAGCUUCAUUUGACCUCUGGUGGCCUCCCUGUCCCCACACUGAGCCCUCCUCCAGCUUCCCAGGUGUCUCCGAGGUGCUCCAGCUGAUCAAAGCCAACAGGCACUGCUGGCUCACCAGGAAGAUGUGUGUGUGUGUGUGUGUGUGUGUGUGUGUGUGUGUGUGUGUGUGUGUGUGUGAGUGGCCUGGCCCCACUUAGGAAGAAAUGACCAUGUGCCUGUAUGCAGUUUUAACCUGUGAGAGUCAUCACAGGCUCAAGAAAAGAACCGUGUUGGCAUAGGUCACCUCAUUUAAUUCUUUUAAAAAAUGUUAAUGUUAUUACUUUUCUUAUUUGUGUAUUUAUUCUCUGUGUAGUUCAGGGAAAAGCAUGUGUAAGAGCCUGUGGAGUCAGAUCUGGGACACCUUGUGGGGCAGUUCUUUCCAUCAUGUGGGGCCAGGGACGUGAACUCAUGUUACCUGGCUUAGAGGCAAAUGCCUUCACCCUCAGAGCCAUCUUGCUAGUCCAUGUCAUUUCAUUCUUUUUUUGUUUGUGUGUGGUGUGUGGUUUUGUUUUUUUCAAGACAGGGUUUCUCUGUGUAGCCCUGGCUGUCCUGGAACUUGCUCGGUAGACCAGGCUGGCCUUGAACUCACAGAGAUCCACCUGCUUCUGCCUCCUGAGUGCCAGCAUAAAAGGCAUGUGCCACCACAAUCCAGCUCUCAUUUCAUUAUUAACAUAUACCUUCAAGGUGGCUACCAUAGCUCUUGCUUUUUGUUUGUUGUGUGUUUAAGCUUUUAUUUAUUUAUUUAAUGUGUAUGCCUGUAUAACACUUGUGUGCCCAGUGCUCAAGGAGGCCAGAAGAGGGUUGUCCUGAGAAUUGAACCUGGGUCCCCUGGAAGAACAGCCAGUGCUCUUGACUUUGAGCCUCCUCUCCAGGCUGUUUUGAGACAGCGUCUUGCUCUGUACUCCAAACUGGCCUUGAAUACUCGCCCUUCUGCCUUUCCUCAGUGCUAGGAAUGCAAGCCUGUAGUGCCACAUGCCCCUUCUAACUGCUAUGUUAGAAAUGAUGAAAUAGUUCCAGGAGGGCACAGAAUUGCUCACAGUCACAAUUAGGAAGAGGUCAGGCCCGGCUCCUUGCUGUUCUGUGCUCUCAUUUGCCUCCAGAGUCCUGCUGGUGACAACACAGUGUGAUCUGAAUAAUACUGGCUGCCUCCACACUAAGAAAAAUUACUAGUACUUACUUUUUUUAAGAUUCUAUUUUUACUUUUAAUUAUGGGUGUGUGUAUUUGUAUAUGCUUGUGCACAUGAGAGCAAUGCCCAAGGAGGGCAGAAAAGGAUACACGAUCGUCUAGGGCUGGAAUUACGGACACUGUGAACUGCCCAGUGUGAAUGCUGGGAAGCAAACCCUUGGAGAGCAGUCCACUCUGACCACUGAGCCGUCUCUCCAGCCCUACAGCUUUCUUUGGGCGAAAACCCAACAGUCUACCUAAGACUCAAUAAUCUCCUGUUUUCUUGUUUUUGUUUGUUUUAUUUAUUUAUUUA
ensembl:lncRNA